UAAUACGUAGGUGGCGAGCGUUGUCCGGAUUUACUGGGCGUAAAGAGCGCGCAGGCGGUCGUAUAAGUCGAAUGUGAAAGCCCCCGGCUCAACUGGGGAGAGUCAUUCGAUACUGUUCGACUCGAAGGCAGGAGAGGGAAGUGGAAUUCCGGGUGUAGUGGUGAAAUGCGUAGAUAUCCGGAGGAACACCAGUGGCGAAGGCGACUUUCUGGCCUGUUCUUGACGCUGAGGCGCGAAAGCUAGGGGAGCAAACGGGAUUAGAUACCCCGGUAGUCCUAGCCGUAAACGAUGGACACUAGGUGUUGGUGGUAUCAACCCCGCCAGUGCCGUAGCUAACGCAUUAAGUGUCCCGCCUGGGGAGUACGGCCGCAAGGCUA
rnacentral:rRNA from 1 species